UCGCGCGCUUGCAAGACACAAGCUGUGGCUUAUCUUGUAACACCUUCUUCUGAUCAAUGAAUUUGGCAGUUCUCCUGCCAACAUUCAAAAAAAAAAAGAAACAAGCUGUGGCUUCAUGGCUACAUCUCUCCCUCUCUGGCGCCACCAAGCGUGCACAUGAGGCCAUAUAUAUGAUCUCUGUCUCUCUAUCUCUCUCUAGAUCGCCUACUCCCUCUCUCAUAUCUCUCUUACCUCCGGUCCGGUGCAUGGCAGUUGAGGGGAAUGUUGUCUGGUUGGAGACCUGGCUCGCACGACGGCCGGACCCCGGAUCGAUCGACGGCGUGCGUGCGCGGUUUCGGACCAGGCUUCAUUCCCCCCAACUCAACCCUUCUUCUAUCGGAGACGACGGCGGCUAGCUGCAGCUUGUUUUGUUGGCCAAGCUGGGAAUCGGAGCAGGCGCCGCGUUUUCUUUGAGCUAAGGAGGUCAGCUUCAGCAAGAAGAGGUGGUGGUCGAGUUACUCCUGAAUCAAGUGUUAAAGACGUCGGAACAAACUGCAAGGAAAACAGACGGUCCAAGAAUCUGGAGCAAUCAAUACCUGGGAAUCAAAGCUGAGAAGCGAGCUCUCCAAAUGUUUAGAUUACGGUUUGCGCCCGCACAAAUGUCAACCACUUCAUAUGCGAUAUUCUCACC